rnacentral:misc_RNA from 1 species
GAUGAAGAACGUAGCGAAAUGCGAUAACUAAUGUGAAUUGCAGAAUUCAGUGAAUCAUCGAGUCUUUGAACGCACAUUGCGCCCCCUGGUAUUCCGGGGGGCAUGCCUGUCCGAGCGUCAUUUCUACCCUCGAGCGAGUCCAGCAUCUAGGUGCUGGGCCUCGCCCGGCGUUGGAGCACUACGGGAAGCCCUGUGCUGUCCCCCGUAGGCCCCGAAAUGAAGUGGCGGUCCUGCCGCGGCGCCCCCUGCGUAGUAUAACAGCUCGCUUCGGGACCCGGUGGAGGCCUGCCGUCAAACCUAUACUCUCUAAGUUUGACCUCGGAUCAGGUAGGGUUACCCGCUGAACUUAAGCAUAUCAAUAAGCGGAGGA